UCUUGGUCAUUUAGAGGAAGUAAAAGUCGUAACAAGGUUUCCGUAGGUGAACCUGCGGAAGGAUCAUUAUUGAAUAAACUUGGUUGGGUUGCUGCUGGCUCUUAGGAGCAUGUGCACGCCUACCGCCAUUUUUACCACCUGUGCACCUCUUGUAGACCUGGAUACCUCUCGAGGAAACUCGGUUUGAGGACUGCUGUGCGAAAGCCAGCUUUCCUUGCAUUUCCGGUCUAUGUUUUUAUAUACCCCAUCAGAAUGUUACAGAAUGUCAUUAAUGGGCUUUAUUGCCUUUAAAAUUAAUACAACUUUCAACAACGGAUCUCUUGGUUCUCGCAUCGAUGAAGAACGCAGCGAAAUGCGAUAAGUAAUGUGAAUUGCAGAAUUCAGUGAAUCAUCGAAUCUUUGAACGCACCUUGCGCUCCUUGGUAUUCCGAGGAGCAUGCCUGUUUGAGUGUCAUUAAAUUCUCAACCUUUCUAGCUUUUGCUAGUUAGGCUUGGAUGUGGGGGUUGCGGGCUUCUCAGAAGUCGGCUCUCCUUAAAUGCAUUAGCGGAACCUUUGUGGACCAGCUUUGGUGUGAUAAUUAUCUACGCCACGGCCGUGAAGCAGCUAUACAUGGGGUUCAGCUUCUAACUGUCCAUUGACUUGGACAAUUUCUGACAUUUUGACCUCAAAUCAGGUAGGACUACCCGCUGAACUUAAGCAUAUCAAUAAGCGGAGGAAA
rnacentral:rRNA from 1 species